UUUUUUUAACCUAACUGCUACCGCCCGCGACCGCAAACGCUUGCGGGAAAGAGCUUUCAAAAAUUGGCGAUUUCGAACGGUCCAAAGCGAUAUCUAGCGGUUUCUAUGAUUGGUGUCAAUCGCUAACAACCGUUACCAACUGCAAACGCUGGGUUUGCGGGUGGUAGAGGGAGAACCAAUCAAACCCUAAAUGUGUGUGACCACUGACCACACCAGCCA
rnacentral:sRNA from 1 species